GUGCUCGCUUCGGCAACCACAUAUACUAAAAUUAGCAUGGCCCCUGCAGCAAGGACGGUGAGCAAAUUCGUGAAGCGUUCCAUUUUUAA
rnacentral:snRNA from 1 species